rnacentral:tRNA from 1 species
GGUGUUAUAGUCUAAUUAAUGAUUUCAAAUUGCAAAUUUGAAGAUAAAAGUAUUUUUGACGCCU